UGGUCUAGCGGUUAGGACGCUGGCUUUGUAAUCCUGGGGUCUCGGGUUCGAUUCCCGG
rnacentral:tRNA from 1 species